GUCCGGGCACUUGGUGCUUGGGUGGCGCAGCUACGCAAUAAGUUAUCCGCCUGGGGAGUCGGUCGCAAGAUUAAAACUCAAAGGAAUUGACGGGGGCCUGCCAAGCGGUGGAGCAUGUGGUUUAAUUCGAAGCAACGCGCAAAACCUUACCAGCGUUUGACAUGUCCGGACGAUUUCCAGAGAUGGAUCUCUUCCCUUCGGGGACUGGAACACAGGUGCUGCAUGGCUGUCGUCAGCUCGUGUCGUGUGAUGUUGGGUUAAGUCCCGCAACGAGCGCAACCCUCGCCUUUAGUUACCAUCAUUUAGUUGGGGACUCUAAAGGAACCGCCGGUGAUAAGCCGGAGGAAGGUGGGGAUGACGUCAAGUCCUCAUGGCCCUUACACG
rnacentral:rRNA from 1 species